UACUUCUCUCCAUUUUCAUAGUCUUUUUCUUUCACUAAACAUCAUAAUCACCACCAUAUCUAUAACUAUUUUGUUUAUCAAGAAAAAAAACAUGAGAUCAAGAAAACAAAAGUGAUGAUGGUAGCGGAUAUGGAGGAGGUGAUGGUGAUGUCCGUGGUUUGUAACUUCCGGCUUGCAACACCGGCGGAUGAUCUCGACACAUCCAAAGGAUUACCAAAAAUGAUUUGUUUGAUCUAAAAUGUGUCAGUAUUGGGUUAGGGUUUGUUGCUGGACAUAUUGGUGGCUAUAGAUAUGUUUCUUUUCUACUCUUUUGUCUCUUCAGAUCUUCGUUAGAUCUACACAGAAUAUACAUGGUUCAAAUUUAAUUUCAUGUUUAAAGUGUUGUUGUUGAAGUGUUAGAAUGGUUGGAAGAAACAAAAUUGAAAAUGAAGUAACUUUUUCUUUUGGCAUGUA